UCCAGACUCCUACGGGAGGCAGCAGUGAGGAAUAUUGGUCAAUGGGCUUACGCCUGAACCAGCCAAGUCGCGUGAGGGAAGACUGCCCUAUGGGUUGUAAACCUCUUUUGUCAGGGAGCAACGCCGGCUACGUGUAGCCGGACUGAGAGUACCUGAAGAAAAAGCAUCGGCUAACUCCGUGCCAGCAGCCGCGGUAAUACGGAGGAUCCGAGCGUUAUCCGGAUUUAUUGGGUUUAAAGGGUGCGUAGGCGGCUUUUUAAGUCGGCGGUGAAAGUCUGUGUCUCAACCAUAGAAUUGCCGUUGAACCGGGGGGGUUUGAGUAUGUUUGAGGCAGGGGGAAUGCGUGGUGUAGCGGUAAAAUGCAUAGAUAACACGAAGACCCCC
rnacentral:rRNA from 1 species